rnacentral:lncRNA from 1 species
CCUGGGCCGGGCGGGAGUGAGACACAUCGGCUGAGGAGCAGCCAAAUUCAGAAACACCAGGAACACAGAUGAGAACGACAGUGAUUUUCCCCACAUCCAUUUGGCUGGCAGCGAAGAGGAGCGAUCCCAUGACUGUACAGCACAGACCAAAACCAGCAUGAAGCAUUUCCGUUCUCAAUUCUACAAAAAGUCCUUUGUCACUUUGGGAAAGUUCCUUUAACAUCGUUUCAUAUCACACUAGUUCCCUCUGAAAGCUGCUGCUAGAGAAAGUUUUGCAGGCUGAAGUCAGAUUUGGACUAGUUUAAUGCACGAUGCUGAGUCUACAUGCAUACCAACCUGAGUAAUUGUGUUGCAAGACAACUGACACUAGGAUUUAUUCUAGGUAGUAUUUUAUUUGGGACGGGGUGCAGCCCAAAUGGUAGAGGAAAAAGACCAGAAAACUGCCACGAUCAUUUAGUCUGGUAAAAGAUACAACUCAUUGCUCAAAAACAAAAUGAAGUCCAGUCUUAUUCCAGUGCUAUGGUGUCCCGUAGGUAUAGGCAAGUAGCUGGAAUGGUUAAUUGUGCCCCUAUCCCCCAUUAUGAGGUACCUUAUUUCCCACUUGACCUAUGUUUUGAAUGGCGUCCCAUUUCAGCUCGCAGGCA